rnacentral:rRNA from 1 species
CCUACGGGGGGCUGCAGUGGGGAAUAUUGGACAAUGGGGGGAACCCUGAUCCAGCCAUGCCGCGUGAGUGAAGAAGGCCCUCGGGUUGUAAAGCACUUUCAGUGAGGAAGAACGCCUGGUGGUUAAUACCCAUCAGGAAAGACAUCACUCACAGAAGAAGCACCGGCUAACUCCGUGCCAGCAGCCGCGGUAAUACGGAGGGUGCGAGCGUUAAUCGGAAUUACUGGGCGUAAAGCGCGCGUAGGUGGCUUGAUAAGCCGGUUGUGAAAGCCCCGGGCUCAACCUGGGAACGGCAUCCGGAACUGUCAAGCUAGAGUGCAGGAGAGGAAGGUAGAAUUCCCGGUGUAGCGGUGAAAUGCGUAGAGAUCGGGAGGAAUACCAGUGGCGAAGGCGGCUUUCUGGACUGACACUGACACUGAGGUGCGAAAGCGUGGGUAGCAAACAGGAUUAGAUACCCUGGUAGUC